rnacentral:rRNA from 1 species
UACGGGGGAGCAAGCGUUGUUCGGAUUUACUGGGCGUAAAGGGCGCGUAGGCGGGCGUGAACAAGUCACUUAGUGAAAUCUCCGGGCCUUAACUCGGAACUGGAUCAAGUGUAUACUGUCGUGGCUAGAGUACAGAAGGGGCAAGCUGGAAUUCUCGGUGUAGGCAGGUGAAAUGCGACAGAUAUCAGGAGGAACACCGGUGGCGAAGGCGGGUCUCUGGGCCGAUACUGACGUGAGGAGCGAAAGCGUGGGGCGCGAACAG